AUUCUUAGCUGGGAGGCUCCCCUGAUCAAAAGGUAAUUUUCCCAAUGUGAGGCUAUCUUUUGCAUGUUGGUUUUGCCAACACCUAUAGCAUCCCACAUGUGGGGAAAUCAGCUUCAGAAUUUGUGGUAGUGAGGGCAAGAUGUUUCUCA
ensembl:snRNA U1 U1 spliceosomal RNA